UACGUAGGGUGCAAGCGUUGUCCGGAAUUAUUGGGCGUAAAGAGCUCGUAGGCGGUCUGUCGCGUCCGUUGUGAAAACUCGAGGCUCAACCUCGGGCUUGCAGUGGAUACGGGCAGACUAGAGUGCGGUAGGGGAGACUGGAAUUCCCGGUGUAGUGGUGAAAUGCGUAGAUAUCGGGAGGAACACCAGUGGCGAAGGCGGCUUUCUGGCCUGCUCUUGACGCUGAGGCGCGAAAGCUAGGGUAGCAAACGGG
rnacentral:rRNA from 1 species